rnacentral:misc_RNA from 1 species
UCAGUCAUCGCCAAGAUGGCGUCUGCUGAGGUGAACUCUUUCAGGUUGUUGUAUGAUUACGUUGGAAAAAUCAACUUGUGAUGGACAUUCCGGUAGAUUUCACAGUUGCAGACUCUCCCCCAUUUAUCGAGUGGUUGCAUUCCUUUUGGUAACUCUCAUCUCAACGUGGAAAAGUGCGUUGAAAUCACCUGAGCCGAAGAGGCAGAGCAGCACCUGACCCAAUCAUACACACUUAAAGGGCAGGGGAAAUGCCCAGCUUGACAACAUUCAAUUGUGUUGGUCGCUCUCUAGUGGAUCAGCUCUCAUGCUGCUUCCAGCGACGAGAUAUGGAUGGCAAUCCCAGACAGCCUUCACUCGUACCGCCUUUACUAGCCAUACCCGCGUUGAAACCGAAAAAGUCGCGUAUUAGAAUGGACGUUGUGAUGCUUUUACAGGGUACGGGAGAGUCGGGAAAAUCGACCUUCAUCAAGCAGAUGCGCAUCAUUCACGGUGCCGGUUAUUCUGACGAGGACAAACGGGGUUUUAUCAAACUCGUCUAUCAAAACAUAUUCAUGGCUAUGCAGAGCAUGAUACGAGCCAUGGACAUGCUUCACAUCUCUUACGGAGACUCGCCUAAUAUAGAAAAAGCGGAACUAGUCCGGUCCGUCGACUACGAAACGGUCACAACUUUUGAAAGUCCUUAUGUCGAAGCCAUACGAGACUUGUGGAGGGAUGCCGGCAUUCAAGAGUGUUAUGACCGGAGGCGUGAAUAUCAACUCACAGAUUCUGCUAAAUACUAUUUAGAAGCGCUAGACCGUAUUGCCGCUCCGGAUUAUUUACCCACGCAACAAGAUAUUUUGCGCGUUCGUGUCCCCACGACGGGCAUCAUCGAAUAUCCAUUUGACCUGCAGGAGAUCCGCUUCAGAAUGGUAGACGUGGGCGGACAGCGAUCCGAGCGACGGAAAUGGAUUCACUGUUUUGAAAACGUCACUUCCAUCAUCUUCCUCGUUGCUCUAAGCGAGUACGAUCAGAUUCUUUUCGAAUCAGACAACGAGAAUCGAAUGGAAGAAUCCAAGGCUUUAUUCCGUACUAUCAUCACGUAUCCAUGGUUCCAGCACUCGUCAGUCAUCCUCUUUUUGAACAAAAAAGAUCUUCUAGAAGAGAAGAUUAUUUACUCCCACAUAGUCGACUACUUCCCCGAAUAUGAUGGACCCAAAAAAGAUCAUGUCGCUGCUCGCGAAUACAUUUUGAAAAUGUACAUGGCAAUGAAUCCAGAUCCUGAUCGAAGUUGCUAUUCGCACUUCACUGUUGCCACAGAUACCGAGAAUAUUAAGCUUGUGUUUUGUGCAGUCAAAGACACAAUCAUGCAGACUGCAUUGAAAGAAUACAAUUUGGCUUAGAAGGAAGUCGAAAUGGAUAGAAACAAUCUGGAAUUAGGAUAGGAAAAGAAUUGUUCAGAUACGGAGAAUAUUCGUUUUGUAUUUGCCGCCGUUAAGGAUACUAUUCUGCAACUCAACUUGCGGGAGUACAAUUUGGUGUGAAUUUCUUCAAUCCCUUUCCUGUUUUUCACGAUAAAACGCAAAAAAGUUUAAUUGAGUAUCCGCUCUUGCUCUCCCUCCGCCUCGAUUUCUCCACCCCUCCACCACCCCACCCUUCGUCAAGGAAAUCUUUGAAAGGGAGAAAACAAAACAAAUACGAGAAGAAGGGGGCGGGAUGUGAACGAGCAAGAAAAAAAAAGAAAAGAAACAAGCAAAAGCAUUUUGCAUCUGGUUCCAAGGUUUUUAUUUUGGGUUCGGAUGGCGUUUUAAAAAAAAAUUAUUUUCGAUUUCCUUCAAUUUUUCUCUUGAUUGACCCAUUAGUUGGAAGCCACAGAGAUGGGUGAAGAUUAAAAAAAAAAAAAAAAAAAAAAAAAACAAGUUUUAAGUAGUGGUGUGGUGUAUGCCGUUAGAAUCUGAACAUGCUGCGCUCUCUCUUUGCUCUCUCUUUGCCACUUUUUUUGAGGGGGGAGAGGGAGGCUGAUAUUCGUCGUGACCUGCAGCAUUUAAUUGACAGGUCAAGUUGUGAAUCGUUCGCAGAGCUCAGUGACCAAAUGGUGUUACCUCUUCCUUUCCCUUACACACAACCGCGUCCUUCCCUUCGCCCAUUUCCGCUCUGUGUACAUAAUGAAUUUUAACAGGAGACAACAGAAAAAGACUCGUCGAUCAUUUGUUUCUUCCUCCCUCUCUUUCUCUCUCUUUUGUGCCCCUCCAAGAAAAAACCAAAACUUCGAUCCGAAAGAAGAGGAAAUUAGAUACAAACAUAUGUAGAAGAUAAAUGCUUGUGUUUUUAUCCCGUUUUGACUCGGAAGAUUUUUUUUUUCUUUUUUUUUAAAUUUUAAUCCAAGGGCAAAAACAAACACGCUGUAUUCGAUAUGAACUUGUGUGUGUGCGUGUGUCAAGUGACUGCUGCUGCUGGGCGAAACUAAUGUAUGGACAGGUUUUGUAAGUAGGUGCGCAGAUUAUUGAAGCAGAAGACGGGGGAAGAAACAUGGCCUAGCUAGAAAUCGUACUAAUAUUAGUUCAUAUUAUAGUUUUGUCUCCGUGUUCAAUUCAGCGCGGGAAACAAAUUUGAAAAAAACGACGACACCUUUUUUUUUCUCCUGCACCACCCUCCCUGUCCCUCCCAAUCUUCCUCCACUUCUUCUCCUGCUCCUCCCGAUUUCGGCUCUAGUCUCGCCCCCCAGUUGUUCAUUAUUGGGGACAUGACAUAAGAAAAGGAAAAAAAAACACAAAAAAAAAUCAUGAAAAAAAAAAAAAUAUUAUUAAAUCUUCUGCGGACCCAUGAAAUCUAUACGUUAUUCUUCAUUUCUUUUGACUGUACUUAAAAGAAAAAAAAACGAAGUCAUCGGCCAUUUUAGUCGCAAAUUGAUUGUUUUCGCUCCUCCAUCAUGUGUAUGUGCAAUUUUUACAGAUUUUUUUUUAAUUCUCCCUAUUCCCUCCUCCCAUUCCUCCCUUCCAUUCUUCCUAUUUCUCACUCGCUCUAUAUACUGUGACCCGCCUACUACCCACCCAAAACCCCCCCAUCUCCCCAAUUUUGAUUCUUAGUUUAUAUCAAUGAAUACGUUUGUUUAUAUUUUGCGCGCGGAUGGGGCCAGGCCAUCAGUUUCAAAUUACUUUCUUGUUUGGGUUUCUUGUGACCCAUUCAAAAAAGAUGACAUAGGGCUCGUAGUUUUUUUUCUUAUCAGCAAAAAAAAAAAAAAGGAAAACACAUUUUCAUUCUCUUCCCGCCACUUGUGUGCUGUCUUGCUCGAAAAAAAGUUUAAAAAAAAGUAAAAAACAUUGAAUAAUGGCGGUGUCUUGACUUUGAUCCCGUUUGAUUUCAUUCGCUAUCUCUAGCUCUCUCUUUUUUUAAUUUCCAUUGUAAUUCUAUUGUAUUGUACUGUACCGUGUACUGUAUUGAUGAUUUAAUCCGACAUUGGAAAUGAAGAAUGGUUGAAAUGA